GAUCGACAGUUCCGUUCAUUGCCCUGCAGGUUCACGACGACGCUUCCGAUCACCUCCCCCCACCCUCCUAGUCGCAUAUUCCUUGCGAAUCUAGACAUCGAUUAGGCCACCUGAUCUGCAACUAGAUCGGAUCGGUCCAGCGUUUGUUUUCAAGAGGAGAAUAAAUAAAUAAAUAAAACGAAAAGAGAAAAGACGACGGAUCCUUAUCCAAGUCAAGUGCGCCCCAUCGAUGCAUCUUACAGAUUGGAUGGGUCGAUUCCGGAGGCGGGGAUUCACUCCCAAGCUCUCCGAAAGAGGGAUCAGAGGAGGGGUUUGUCUGCUUCGCUCUCCACACACAGAGACACAACAUAUUCUCCUUCACUCACUCACUCACUCACUCACUCAUUCACUCAGAUGCAAGUCAGUCACCUACAGG
rnacentral:lncRNA from 1 species